AGGGGGUUCUUUCCUGUGGUGGUUGGCUUUAUUAGAAGAGUUCCAGUUCUCGGAUAUCUCUUGAAUUUACCCGGUAUAAGCUCGCUUGUAGAUAAAGUUGGAGAAAGCAACAACAUGGUAUAAUGACAAGAGGGCAGAAGACUGCUUCUAAACUUAUUGUAUUAUUUAUAAGAUCCUUUUGAAGAAUACUCAGCACAAAGAUUAAGUUGUGUACAAAGGAAAAGCUCCUUAUGUUCUUUACAUAACAGUUUAAUUUAAAAUGUAUAGUCAACCAUAUACAUUAGAAAAGAAGCUCAGCAGGUAUGCUUCUAGGAAAGUAACUCCAGAGUUCAGGAAGUAAACUGAAGAGGUGAAAGUCAUGGAAUAACCCAUGUUACAACAAUUCAAGACUACUUUUGUUGGUUUUGGAAAACAUGAUAGAGGCAAUGAACCCUUGUGGAAUUAACGGUGCCUGUAUUCUACUUCCUUAUUUUGAAGGUGCAGUAGAGCAAACAGGCCUACAUUUUUAAGGGUGACCCAAACUUAUCCAGCUCUCUGCUUGCUAUGCUCAGAGUGCAAAAUGACAAACAGAAAACUUCUUGUGUAACAAGAGAUGCAUCUUUGCAUGAAGGUUGAGAUGACUAUUCAUCUUUAAGUGUAUUAUGACCAUUAAAAAAAAGGAAACCCUACACGGUUCUAUUCUAAACACUUUUGUAAAUAUGUGGCUGAAAUAAAACAUUGUUAUCUUAAUGUUUCGAAGCCAAACGUAAGUUGAUUGUAUUUGCCUUCCAUUUCGGAAUAUGCAAAAGGUCAAUCUUUAGUAACUUCAGUCUUAAAUGUUGGUUCUGAACACGUAGAGCUCAAGAGGGAACUCUGGAAACUGACUUGCACUCCUUCCAAUUUGUUCUCCAUGAGUCACGCUACGCGUGCUUCCAGGUGAGAAUGUAGCCCCUUGUCCUAACAUGAAAACUUUGUGAAAUAUGCUUAGUUCACAAAAAAGCAUUUGAUUGUGGUGCUGAUGUGAACCCCGUGAAAUGUAUCUUAGCAAAAUUUGAACCUUUGUUUUUAAAUAGCUUGAAGCUAAGGUUUCUUUGUUUACUCUGGAACUACAAAUUGAAUUUUAUUUUUUACAGUAAUAAAAUGAAAACUUAAAA